GAGCGGUAACAGGUGUAGCAAUACAUGCUGACGAGCGGCGAACGGGUGAGUAAUGCUUCGGAAUCUGCCCAAUGGUGGGGAAUAACCAGCCGAAAGGUUGGCUAAUACCGCAUAAGUCCUACGGGGGAAAGCAGGGGAUCGCAAGACCUUGCGCCGAUGGAUGAGCCGAAGUCGGAUUAGCUAGUUGGUAGGGUAACGGCCUACCAAGGCGACGAUCCGUAGCUGGUCUGAGAGGACGACCAGCCACACUGGGACUGAGACACGGCCCAGACUCCUACGGGAGGCAGCAGUGGGGAAUAUUGGACAAUGGGGGAAACCCUGAUCCAGCGACGCCGCGUGUGUGAAGAAGGCCUGCGGGUUGUAAAGCACUUUUAGUGGGGAUGAAAAGCUCAGGGAUAACACCUCUGGGUCUUGACCUAACCCACAGAAAAAGCACCGGCUAACUACGUG
rnacentral:rRNA from 1 species